UACGGGGGGGGCAAGCGUUGUUCGGAAUUACUGGGCGUAAAGGGCUCGUAGGUGGCCAACUAAGUCGGACGUGAAAUCCCUCGGCUUAACCGGGGAACUGCGUCCGAUACUGGUUGGCUUGAGUUUGGGAGAGGGAUGCGGAAUUCCAGGUGUAGCGGUGAAAUGUGUAGAGAUCGGGAGGAACACCGGUGGCGAAGGCGGUUCUCUGGGCCUUACCUGACGCUGAGGAGCGAAAGCGUGGGGAGCGAACAGG
rnacentral:rRNA from 1 species